UACGAAGGGGGCUAGCGUUGUUCGGAUUUAUUGGGCGUAAAGAGCUCGUAGGCGGCUUGUCGCGUCGAGUGUGAAAUCCUGCGGCUCAACUGCAGGCUUGCAUUCGAUACGGGCAGACUAGAGUUCGGUAGGGGAGUCUGGAAUUCCUGGUGUAGCGGUGAAAUGCGUAGAUAUCAGGAGGAACACCGGUGGCGAAGGCGGCUUUCUGGACAGAAACUGACGCUGAGGCGCGAAAGCUAGGGGAGCAAACAGG
rnacentral:rRNA from 1 species